CAUAUAAGAAGACAGAAAAUGGAAUCCCUACGUUGGCUUGAGCGGUGGACAAGUGAAGGACAAGUUGGAGCAGCUAAUAAAACUAAUUUGAUUAUAAUCUCAUUUUAUCACAAUCAACAACUAAAAAAAAAUAAUCUGCACUCGUUUCCAACGGUUUAUGAGGAAACUCCUACUAGUACCGGCGGUUUCUGCAAAAUUCCCACUAUUACCGGCAGUUUCUGCAAAACCUAUGCUAUUUCCGG
rnacentral:lncRNA from 1 species